AUAAAGUUUAAAAUUUGAGAAGAAUUUGGCACUUGUUUUAACUUCUUCUCCAUGUUUGUUAUUGGUGUUGGUAUUGGGUGUGAAUCAUGCGGGAUGGGGAUUGGCAAAAUCUCGUUAUUGAAGAAGAAGAUUGAAUCAUAUGACUGCUCAAUGAGAUGUGUUGCCACUGCCUGCCUCUUUGGAACGCCUAUUUCAGCGAACCAGGAUACAUUCCAAAUCAUUUGAAACGCUGGAGUUUCGUGUUCUGGCCUUCUGGGACGUGCAUCCCAGUUUGUGGUUCGGAGGGCAGGGCAGCGAAUUAGGUUGCAAUGACUCCAAUGUUGCUGAGAUGAAGGAAAUAGAGAAAGCUCUACAUCUUUUCUCCCCCAAACGUGACCUUAGCACAUUGGCUGCUGGUAUAUUUAUGGAGUCAGACUCUAGAGUUGCUCUUUCAUUGGUUAAUAAUCCGGAUCCGGCACCAUGGCAACUGUCAAUUCUAUCACUAUAUAUACUUUGCCCCCUGUUUCUUUUGUGCAUGACCCUAGAGAGGCUAAUUGCAUGGCUGACUUGCUUGCAAAACAGGGUCACCAGCGCUUUGAAGACUUUACUUUAUUGCUUUGAUCUCAGCUUCAUCGGGUGAUUUGAGAUGUGGUCAAGUUUGCUUUGUUUCUUGUGCUGUUGCUACCGACUUUUUGGCAUGAUUGUGUGUGGUGCUGCCUCAUUGUUGUCUUGUUUUUGGGUAUUUUUCAACUUGUUUUGGUUUUAUCCUUUUAGAUGUGUUGUUUUCAUAAUAUUGUUAAUGUUGGUCUAUUUGUUUUGGGGAUAGUUUCUUGGUCUGGCUGGUUGUUUUUCUGGUUUUGCUGCUAUUUUCGGCUCUGUUUUUCUGGUUUUGCUGCUAUUUUUGUGCUGGUUUUGUUCAAGUCUGUUGGCAAUGUUGCUUUUGGUGUUUGUACUCUCUUGUCAGGUUUUUUUUUUUUUUCACUUAGCAUGCUUU
rnacentral:misc_RNA from 1 species